CCAGCAGCCGCGGUAAUACGUAGGUGGCAAGCGUUGUCCGGAAUUACUGGGCGUAAAGGGCGAGUAGGCGGUUCCGGCCGUCAGAUGUGAAAGGCAAGGGCUCAACCCUUGGACAGCAUUUGAAACACCGGAACUUGAGUGCGGUAGAGGAAAGUGGAAUUCCCAGUGUAGCGGUGAAAUGCGUAGAUAUUGGGAGGAACACCAGUGGCGAAGGCGACUUUCUGGGCCGUAACUGACGCUGAGGCGCGAAAGCGUGGGGAGCAAACAGGAUUAGAUACCCUGGUAGUCCACGCCGUAAACGAUGGAUGCUAGGUGUGGGAGGUAUCGACCCCUUCCGUGCCGGAGUAAACGCAAUAAGCAUCCCGCCUGGGGAGUACGACCGCAAGGUUGAAACUCAAAGGAAUUGACGGGGGCCCGCACAAGCAGCGGAGCGUGUGGUUUAAUUCGAAGCAACGCGAAGAACCUUACCAAGGCUUGACAUCCCCCGCUAUCUCAGGAAACUGAGAGUUCCCUUCGGGGACGGGGAGACAGGUGGUGCACGGUUGUCGUCAGCUCGUGUCGUGAGAUGUUGGGUUAAGUCCCGCAACGAGCGCAACCCUUGUACUUAGUUGCCAGCAUUGAGUUGGGCACUCUAGGUAGACUGCCGGUGACAAACCGGAGGAAGGUGGGGAUGACGUCAAAUCAUCAUGCCCCUUAUGUCUUGGGCUACACACGCGCUACAAUGGUCUGUACAAAGGGAAGCGAGGUCGCGAGACGGAGCGGAUCCCAUAAAACAGAUCUCAGUUCAGAUUGCAGGCUGCAACUCGCCUGCAUGAAGUCGGAGUUGCUAGUAAUCGCGGAUCAGAACGCCGCGGUGAAUGCGUUCCCGGGCCUUGUACACACCGCCCGUCACACCACGAAAGUCUGCAACACCCGAAGUCGGUGAGCGAACCUGCAAAGGAGGCAGCCGCCGAAGGUGAGGCCGGUAAUUGGGGUGAAGUCGUAACAAGGUA
rnacentral:rRNA from 1 species